UACAGAGGGGGGCAAGCGUUGUUCGGAAUUACUGGGCGUAAAGGGCGCGUAGGCGGCCUUCUAAGUCGAACGUGAAAUCCCCCGGGGCUCAACCCCGGGAACUGCGUCCCGAUACUGGAAGGCUUGAAUCCGGGGAGAGGGAUGUGGAAUUCCAGGUGUAGCGGUGAAAUGCGUAGAUAUCUGGAGGAACACCGGUGGCGA
rnacentral:rRNA from 1 species